rnacentral:rRNA from 1 species
UAAUACGUAGGUGGCAAGCGUUGUCCGGAAUUAUUGGGCGUAAAGGGCGUGUAGGUGGACUCAUAAGUCGUGUGUCUAAGUGCGAAGCUCAACUUCGUAUAGGCGCAGGAAACUGUGAGCCUUGAGUGCAGGAGAGGAAAGUGGAAUUCCCAGUGUAGCGGUGAAAUGCGUAGAUAUUGGGAGGAACACCAGUGGCGAAGGCGACUUUCUGGACUGUGUCUGACACUGAGGCGCGAAAGCUAGGGGAGCGAACGGGAUUAGAUACCCCGGUAGUCCUAGCCGUAAACGAUGGGUACUAGGUGUAGAGGGUAUCGACCCCUUCUGUGCCGGAGUUAACGCAAUAAGUACCCCGCCUGGGGAGUACGGCCGCAAGGUUG